GAGUUCUACAAAGGAAGUUUUCGAAUGGAGAAGAGGACAUUUUCUAUGUUGGUGGCCAGACCAGGAGUUAUGCGUAUAACAACUGGCGAAAUGCAAUUCCUCUUGAAAAGCGGAUUGCCAUUGCCUUGUACACUUUGGGGUCGUCAUCGGAGUACCGAACAAUUGAAAGGCUUUUCGGAGUUGCUCCAUGCACUGUCCGUAAAAUUCUCAAUAAAUGUUUCCGGGCUCUCAUUGCCGAGUUUUCUGGUGAAUUUAUGUCACCCGACUUCCUAACUCCCGAAAAUAUGUUCGAAGCAAUUGGGUUUCCCCAAUGUCUAGAUGGAUGCCAUAUCGAAGAAGCAGUCGACCACCAUAAUUACAAAGGGUGGUAGUAGUACUAUUCACUCUCGUGGAUUUCAGGCAAACUACCUUUUUUAAAGUGCUUAACAAUCUUCUAAAUGCAUUAUAUUUUUUUAAUUUACUACAGACACAGAUAAACCUAUGUAAACAUCAGGUCUGCAGGGCGAUGCAACGAUUCACAAAUUUUCCUGAAGUUUAGCCUGGCCAAGAAAAUUGGAUCUUUACCGCUCCUUCAGAAAAAAACCAGGAAAAUCUGUGUCGUAGACGUUCCGGUGCUGCCUUUUGCGGACUCGGCUUUUAGAUUUUCCUAAACGCUAAUGAAGCCAUACCCAUUUUUCACAACCGCAUCCGUGGAACAGCGAAAUCUUAAUUACAAGAUUGUAAUAGGCUAGGCGACUGGUGGAAAAUGCUAGGUUCCGAUUUAUUCGGAAAGGUCUUGACAGGCACCAUAAAAAGAAUAAUGCGGUCAUUCUAGUCUGCUGUGUUCUACAUAACACAUAUAUUGAUUGAACACAACUGCAUCAUCAAUGAUAACUGGCAACUAACUAUAAAUGACUUGAA